AUGGCGACCGGCGCACGGGUGAGUAACACGUAUCCAACCUGCCGAUAACUCGGGGAUAGCCUUUCGAAAGAAAGAUUAAUACCCGAUGGUAUAAUCAGACCACAUGGUUUGAUUAUUAAAGAAUUUCGGUUAUCGAUGGGGAUGCGUUCCAUUAGGCAGUUGGUGAGGUAACGGCUCACCAAACCUUCGAUGGAUAGGGGUUCUGAGAGGAAGGUCCCCCACAUUGGAACUGAGACACGGUCCAA
rnacentral:rRNA from 1 species